rnacentral:misc_RNA from 1 species
UCCGUAGAUGGCGCUUGCUCGAUUACAGACUUCCGGCGCUCAGGAACGCGUGAUCCGCACAGAGACGUUCACGCACGCACAGAGAGACGUCGCAGGCGUGUGCCUCACAUAAUGCGGGUCGCCGCGACUGUCUUUCACAUAUCCUUUUUUCUGGAUGUGCCCUUGCGUGCGCGUGCGUGCUAUGCUUUUUGUUGCGUGGCGACAUGCAGCGAGGCCACAGGUGUACCGACCAGUUCCUCCUUACCCGACGUCUGCGCCGACUUUUCGCUCGUGUCCACGAACGCCAAUGGCUGCUGCAUCACCACCAGAGUGAUGCGUCUCUGUCCUGGUUUCACGCUUCAUCGCGUCCAUUACAGGCAUUGCAUCACCUUCGCUCACUACAAACAAACCUGUCGAAACUUGCCUGGGCACCGGCGUCCUUCGCCGAAGAGGCUGACGGUGACUCUCCGCAAACGAAACUAGAAGAUCGGCCCCGCGAUCGCGCACCACCGCAUCCCGCGGCACCACCGGGAGACCCGCCUCCGUUUGCUCACCCCGCCGCGCCGCACCUGUCCUUUCUCAUGAAUGCCUCCUUUCUGCAUGAAACCUGCCUUUUCUUGCUGCUCCUGCGCAACCCGCUGCCAAGUAGUUCACUGGCUCGGCUGAGCUCCCUGUCGGAGCGGGAGCCUCUGCAGGUUCACAGUCACGGCACUGUAGCCGCGGAGACAACGCACUACAUUUUGCAGAACGGUCUCUGGUGUUCGUGUUUGCCGCAUUCUGUCGAGGCAACGUGGCUCAGGGCAGCCACCCCCGCCAUCGACGUUCAACUGGAGCUCGGUUCCAGCACAGACCCCACUACCAGGCACGAUCAAGCACCUGAUGAUAGCUUAGAUGAGCGCGGCGACGCUCGCGAGGCAGCAUUGGCACGUCUCUGCAGCCACGACUACCUCGAGCAUCUCAUCUGGCCGACGCACGCGGCAGGGGCCGUGAGGCCUGAGCUUGCUGCGGACUGCGUGUGGGUUGAUGUGUCAAGCGUGCGCUCGCACGCUCUUCACUCCUACAACGACGCCUUCUGGGUACCCUUCAGCACAAGUCACAGCUUCGCCGCGUGGCACCGCGCGUCACUGUGUGCAACGCUAGACGGCCAGCACGCUGCCGCCAGUGUGGAGGCGUGGAGGUGGACCGGUGACCUGUACAUAUGCGGCUGAUUGCCAAAAAGAAAACCUGACGCACGGCGCUGCGCGGUUGUGUUGGCAUUCGACUUGCCGCUCAGUUCCCACCGCUUCCUCUUCGCCCUCUUCACUUGCCUUACCUUCCGUAUCUUAGCGGAGAAGGUGGUGGUGAUUGUACGCUCUCUCGGUGUACAUCUUCCCACUUCCGCGUAUCCGAGAUGUGCGGCCAAGACCCCGUUUUCUCAGCCACGCACUCCCUGCGUUGCUAUUCGCUUCUUGCCUCCUGCUGUACCGUGUGUGUUCUCUCUGCUUCGGCUGCCUUCAGCGGCUUCUGCUCUGCACUUUGGAAACGAUUGCCACACAAAACAGCACUGCUCCGCGAAGGCCAGCGGGUUCUCUCCUUCCGCGCGCGCGCUUCACAACCGCAGCGAACAUGCAGCUGCUCGCGUGCGUCUCUCUGCUACAUCAAGUGAGAGAGCAGUCGCUGCGGCGGCCCUCGCGGCGAUCUCUGCGCUGCUUGCGUCCCGCCCAUUCUCCGCUGCUGUUGCGGUCAUGCAGUUGCCAUAUUGUCUCCUUCCUCGUCUCUGUCGCAUCCCCGCAG